rnacentral:rRNA from 1 species
AUUGAACGCUGGCGGCAGGCCUAACACAUGCAAGUCGAACGGUAACAGGAAGCAGCUUGCUGCUUUGCUGACGAGUGGCGGACGGGUGAGUAAUGUCUGGGAAACUGCCCGAUGGAGGGGGAUAACUACUGGAAACGGUAGCUAAUACCGCAUAACGUCGCAAGACCAAAGAGGGGGACCUUAGGGCCUCUUUCCAUCGGAUGUGCCCAGAUGGGAUUAGCUAGUAGGUGGGGUAACGGCUCACCUAGGCGACGAUCCCUAGCCGGUCUGAGAGGGUGACCAGCCACACUGGAACUGAGACACGGUCCAGACUCCUACGGGAGGCAGCAGUAGGGAAUAUUGCGCAAUGGGCGCAAGCCUGAUGGAGCCACGCCGCGUGGAUGAAGAAGGGCUUCGGGUUGGAAAACUCUUUUAGGAGGGAAGAAGGGAGGUAAAGUUAAACCUUUACAUAUUGACGGUACCCGGAGAAAAAGCCACGGCUAACUACGUG